GCGCCCGUAGCUCAGUUGGUUAGAGCAAUCGCCUCUUAAGCGAUGGGUCCCUGGUCCGAAUCCAGGCGGGCGCA
rnacentral:tRNA from 1 species